AAACCCGUCUUGGACUGGCAACGUGCGAACGAGCGAGCGACGGGCGAAGCCUCCAGGUGCCCUCGAGCGACACCACACCAGAUCCCCUCGCCGUUGCCCUCGCCCUCGCAGCCGCCGCCGAUCCCCUCCCCCAUCUUUCUCCCUCAAACGCUAACCCGUCUCCGCACCGCGACCGCCACCGCCCGUCGUGGCUGCCCCCGCCACCUCCCGCCGCGGCCGCCGCCCCAGCUCUAGCCGUGGCCAUCACGCCCAGAUCCAGCCGCGGCCGCCGCCCCCACGUCCCACCGCGGCCGCUGCCCUGCGCGCCAACGACCCCUUCCCCCGCCGCCGCGCCACAGGUCCACUUCGCCAUGAGCUCCAGCGCCGACCAUCCCGCCGCUGCUCGUGAUCCCCUCUUCCCUCAGCUCCACUUCACCGGAACCGUAAGUCCAUAUGAGUAUGCGUAGCAGGUUCAUCAGAUCCUCCUGACAUGUUCUUCCUUCUCCAAAAAUAUUUUCUUUUAUGUUUAAUUCUUCGUCAUAUGAUCAUUUCCUAUUACCCCGGUGCCUUUCGCUUGAAUUCUUGCUGAUGUUGGCUGUAGCUUCAAACGGCUUCGCCUGCGUGCCUACGUAAAUUUGUACUGAGCGAUGCCAUUUUGAAAGAAAAAAAAACUGAAUAAACUACAACCCAUCAGAUGAGAAAAGGCUGAUUCUGCCAAUUCAAGUUGGAUGUCUGGCUAGGUGUCUUGUGCAGACUUGACAUAGGCUAUGUUGGACACUAGCAAGUGUUCCCAAUCACAUCUUAAAGAAAUUCAAGUUCGAUGCAGGAAAUGUUUGCUCUUUCAAAAUCAAUGUAUUUGUGAGUACCAAGCUGAAUAAGGUUUAUUAUGCAUGCUGAAUAAGUUACAUUUUUCAGAAGCUUGAGGUUCUAAGGGCUGCUUUAUAAAAGCUUUGUACCAAAUUUACUGAAUUAGAAAUAACAGUUGAUAGAGCUGGUAUGUUAAUCUCAUAGCCCUGGCGUUGAACAUUUUCUGCUUUUGUCCUGUAUAUGCACACUUACCUUCCUGCAACUGUAUGUACAUCCUCUGUAAGGAAAUAUAGGAGCGUUUAGAAUACUAAAGUAGUGAUCUAAAUGCUCUUAUAUUUCUUUACAGAGGGAUUAUUAACUAGCCAAUUGCUUUCAUUUAAUUAUCAUUAUUCUGGAACAUGUUGCUCACUUGAUAUUAAACAUUUUAAUUAGAAUAAGCUAUCCAAGGAGGUUUUAUUAGGAAAAUUUAGUUUAUGUGACUUUUUUUUAUUUGAACAAGCAUACGCAUCUCCAUUUUUCAUUUUUAGUUUUUUAUUUGUAUAGUUGGAACAUUAGUUUGAUGUGAGUUUCAGCUACCUGCUUGUUAUUGAAACUGCAAGAACUCGCUAGCUUUUGUCAAAAGAAAUGGAAUGUGAUGGAAGUAAAAGAAGAUAAGGUGUUUUUGUUGAUCCUUGUGUUUGAUUUUAGGGUGUGUGUGUGUGCCUAAUCACUGUAAAUAGUAAAUACUCUACAGUUAUGACAGCGAAAUCCUUGUGAAUAUGGACAGAUGGAGAUGUAUGAACGGGCAAUUUUUGCAGUUAAUUAUUGUCAGUUUGCGAUUUCAAAAUACAAUGACCCAGAUGUCAUCAGAAGAUAGCAAUUGAAUACCGAGACUAUUCUGAUGAAGUUUUUUUUAAUAUAUUUUUAUAGUGUCUUGACUUUUGUUAACUACCGCAUUUUAGGCUGUAUGUGUAUAGGAAUACAUACAUGGCAAGAAGGGAUUAUACAAUACCUAGGACCUGAGCAGGAAUGCUUGAUGAGAUGCUUUAUAAUAUUUUAGCACUGUUUUUGGGCAGUCCUUGUGGUAGGAAAGUGAUCCAUUCUUCAAAAACUCAUCUACUACUACUCACCUUGUAUAAUUUUUUAUUCUGCUGCAUAUUUGGUUUUAUCAUAAAAUGAAUGGAUUAUUCUGAAAUACAGUGUAACGCCCCCCCAUCAAAGAUUAUUAUUUGAGCAUUUAUUUAUUAUUAUUCUUUUGCCUCUUGCUAUUGCUUGCUAAAGGCACAUGCAUACACGAAUCUUUCCUCGUGCCAUUGUUUCUUCUGCAAGCACCUAGCAGUGUAAUUUCAUGAAUUAAGUAAGAUUCUGCUAUUUGGCCCAAAGAAUUAUCUGAUGAUACAUUUCCCCUUUCCUUGCUAUAGUUCCUUUCAGUCAGCUAAAUGUCAAUAUGUUGGAUGAUGUUGUGGAGAGGGCCACCGAGAGGGGGUUUGCAUUGCCAAAGUCGAAGGUGGCCAUUGCCUUGACCUGCCUGGACCUCUUGACCUUUAACAACGCUCAAACAGGAUACACAUGUUGGAGGAGGAGACCACAAGCUAAUUGAUGAUUUGGAUGAGUGGAUCAGAGGACAACAUGAGCAGUGCCUACAAAAUUAAUAGCUCAAGUCUCUCAACACGCGGAUGGAUGAUGUUGUGGAGAGGGCCAUCGAGAGGGGGUUUGCAUUGCCAAAGUUGAAGGUGGCCAUCGCCUUGACCUGCCUGGACCUCCUGACCUUUCACAACGCUCAAACAGGAAACACAUGUUGGAGGAGGAGACCACAAGCUAAUUGAUGAUUUGGAUGAGUGGAUCAGAGGACGACAUGAGCAGGACCAUAGCGGACCAUUGCAAUGCGGCAAAUCAAAUUUCAAUACUCAACACUCUUCUAUGUGGAUUAGAAGACCACAGGUGGAGUGUGCUUGGACGGCAGCUUGGCCGCCAGCUACACGCCCUUCUAGGCGGCCAGGCAGAGAUUCUUUGCCUCGGCAACCGCCUUGGCCUAGAGCCAUGCCAGGUCGUCGUCGCCGAGGAUGGACGCCAGCAACAACAUCGAUCUCUGAUACCGACGAAGUUGGUUGUGGGGCGGGACCAUGGCGGGGUGGCGCGAGGCCAUGGUGGGGAGAGGACAUGGGCACGAGGCUGUGGAGGCUGACGGGAGAGGAGGUGGGCAGAGCAACGCCAUGGUGGGGACAAGCGGCUUGUGUGAUCGGCUGCUGUGUAGUGAGGGGGCUACCUGUACGGUGAGAAGCGGUACGGUGAGGUACCUGUACAUAUAGGAGUGGCUACCUGUACGUUGAGAGCAGUCCUAAAUACGCCCAACAAGUGAUCUAGACGUACCACAUGGCACAUGUGGCCAACUAUCCAUGGCACAUGUGACCAACUAUCCAAACGAAGGGCAUGACGGAUGGCACCAGCGGAAAGGUGAGCGCCAGUGGAGAUAAGCGAGAAAAGGAGUAGCGCGAGGCGGUAGGUAGCCUUGAAGAGGAUGAGAGGGCCCGCUGCUGGGGGUGGUCCUAGGGAUUUUUGAAUCAACGAGAGCAGUGUCGGCCCAGUGUGUGGCUGCUCCAGUGCUACCGCAUGCCCCAGUACCGCCCAAACGUGGUUGCAGGUGGACGUGGGCACCGUGGCCGCCACCAAGGAUGUAGGGGUCCCGCCACAAUCGGCGAGGACGCGGUAGGCGUGUCGAAAUUGUCAAAGACACAGGAGCCGUACUGCGGCCUUGGUGUUUUUCCUAAUUUCUUUAGGCCUAAAUACUGGAUGAGAUUCUCAUUGCUGGCAUUCUUCAUGAACCUACCAAGGAGAACAUUUCAAUACUAAUUGCAGCACAUGUUUUCUCACCACCGGCUAGCAAGAAGAGAGUAUGAUUUUCUAAUAUUUAGUGUUGUAAGCUUGAUUCACGAGGAGCUUCUCAAUGUUGUACAUGUUGUUUGUGAGUAACAGAAAUAAAUCAUUUCCUGGAAUUAUACGCUAUAUUUUCUAUGGGAAUUCGUUGACACAGUUCCUUACAACACUGAGAAUCUUCGAAAUGGGCAAACCGCUCUAUGUAAUUCUAUCAUCCAUUCUGAUUUUGAGACAAGUAUAUCAUUUAUCUUUUUCCUUC